rnacentral:rRNA from 1 species
UACGGGGGGUGCGAGCGUUGUCCGGAAUCACUGGGCGUAAAGGGCGCGUAGGUGGUUUGAUAAGGGUGUGGUGAAAGUCCGGGGCUCAACCCCGGAUCUGCCGUGCCGACUGUCAAACUCGAGGACUGUAGAGGCAGACGGAAUUCCGGGUGUAGCGGUGGAAUGCGUAGAGAUCCGGAGGAAGACCGGUGGCGAAGGCGGUCUGCUGGGCAGUUUCUGGCACUGAGGCGCGACAGCGUGGGGAGCAAACAGG